rnacentral:rRNA from 1 species
UACGUAGGGGGCAAGCGUUGUCCGGAUUUAUUGGGCGUAAAGAGCGUGUAGGCGGCCAGGUAGGUCUGCUGUGAAAACUCGAGGCUCAACCUCGAGACGCCGAUUGAAACCAUCAGGCUAGAGUCCGGAAGAGGAGAGUGGAAUUCCCGGUGUAGCGGUGAAAUGCGCAGAUAUCGGGAAGAACACCCGUGGCUAAGGCGGCUCUCUAGUACGGUACUGACGCUGAGACGCGAAAGCGUGGGGAGCGAACAGG